UACGGAGGGGGCUAGCGUUGUUCGGAAUUACUGGGCGUAAAGCGCACGUAGGCGGCUUUGUAAGUUAGAGGUGAAAGCCCGGGGCUCAACUCCGGAAUUGCCUUUAAGACUGCAUCGCUAGAAUUGUGGAGAGGUAAGUGGAAUUCCGAUUGUAGAGGUGAAAUUCGUAGAUAUUCGGAAGAACACCAGUGGCGAAGGCGACUUACUGGACACAUAUUGACGCUGAGGUGCGAAAGCGUGGGGAGCAAACAGG
rnacentral:rRNA from 1 species